rnacentral:rRNA from 1 species
GAGCUUGCUCUUCUCUUAGUGGCGAACGGGUGAGUAAUACAUAAGCAAUCUGCCCAUGGGACUGGGAUAACUAUUGGAAACGAUAGCUAAUACCGGAUAGGUGAGCUGGGGACAUCCCCUACUCAUUAAAGUUGGGUUAAACCAACACCUGUGGAUGAGCUUAUGGCGCAUUAGCUAGUUGGUGAGGUAACGGCCCACCAAGGCGAUGAUGCGUAGCCGACCUGAGAGGGUGACCGGCCACACUGGGACUGAGACACGGCCCAGACUCCUACGGGAGGCAGCAGUAGGGAAUUUUCGGCAAUGGGCGAAAGCCUGACCGAGCAACGCCGCGUGAGUGAUGAAGGUCUUCGGAUUGUAAAGCUCUGUUGUCAGGGAAGAACGACCAGACGAGGAAAUGCGUUUGGAGUGACGGUACCUGACCAGAAAGCCACGGCUAACUACGUGCCAGCAGCCGCGGUAAUACGUAGGUGGCAAGCGUUAUCCGGAAUUAUUGGGCGUAAAGGGUGCGUAGGCGGUUUGAUAAGUCUAAGGUGAAAGUUCGGAGCUUAACUCCGGAUUGCCUUAGAAACUGUCAGACUAGAGUGCAGGAGAGGGCAAUGGAAUUCCAUGUGUAGCGGUAAAAUGCGUAGAUAUAUGGAGGAACACCAGUGGCGAAGGCGGUUGCCUGGCCUGUAACUGACGCUGAAGCACGAAAGCGUGGGGAGCAAAUAGGAUUAGAUACCCUAGUAGUCCACGCUGUAAACGAUGAUUACUAAGUGUUGGGGAAACUCAGUGCUGCAGUUAACGCAAUAAGUAAUCCG